rnacentral:rRNA from 1 species
AUUGAACGCUGGCGGCAGGCAUAACACAUGCAAGUCGAGCGAGCGGCGGACGGGUGAGUAAUGUAUGGGGACUGCCCGAUAGAGGGGGAUAACUACUGGAAACGGUGGCUAAUCCCGCAUACUAUCGGAUAACACCUAUGGGAUUAGCUAGGAGGGGGGGAAAAGGCUCACCUAGGCGACGAUCUCUAGCUGGCCUGAGAGGAGGAUCAGCCACACUGGGACGUAGACACGGCCCAGACUCCUACGGAGGCAGCAGUGGGGAAUAUUGCACAAUGGGCGCAAGCCUGAUGCAUCCAUGCCGCGUGUAUUAAGAAGGCCUUAGGGUUUUAAAGUACUGUCAGCGGGGAGGCGUUACCCGCAGAAGAAGCACCGGCUAACUCCGUGCCAGCAGCCGCGGUAAUUC